rnacentral:rRNA from 1 species
AUUGAACGCUGGCGGAAUGCUUUACACAUGCAAGUCGAACGGUAGAGGGGGCAACCCCUCGAGAGUGGCGAACGGGUGAGUAAUAUAUCGGAACGUGCCCAGUCGUGGGGGAUAACGUAAAGAAAGCUACGCUAAUACCGCAUACGAUCUAAGGGUGAAAUCGGGGGAGCGCAAGACCUCGCGCGAUUGGAGCGCCCGAUAUCAGAUUCGGUAGUUGGUGGGUUAAAGGCUCACCAAGCCAACGAUCUGUAGCUGGUAUGAGACGACGACCAGCCACACUGGAACUGAGACACGGUCCAGACUCCUACGGGAGGCAGCAGUGGGGAAUUUGGGACAAUGGACGCAAGUCUAAUCCAGCCAUUCCGCGUGCAGGAUGAAGGCCCUCGGGUUGUAAACUGCUUUUGUACGGAACGAAAAGGUCUCUCUUAAUACGGGGGACUCAUGACGGUACCGUAAGAAUAAGCACCGGCUAACUACGUGCCAGCCGCCGCGGUAA